GGCGCGGUACAUCAGCGGUAGAUGAGACCCCUCAUAAGGGUACGGUCGCUGGUUCGAAUCCAGCUCGCGCCACCA
rnacentral:tRNA from 1 species